UACGGAGGAGGCAAGCGUUAUCCGGAAUUAUUGGGCGUAAAGCGUCCGUAGGUGGUUUAGUAAGUCUGCUGUUAAAGCGCGGGGCUUAACUCCGUAUCGGCAGUGGAAACUACUAGACUAGAGUGUGGUAGGGGUAGAGGGAAUUCCCAGUGUAGCGGUGAAAUGCGUAGAGAUUGGGAAGAACACCGGUGGCGAAAGCGCUCUGCUAGGCCGCAACUGACACUGAGGGACGAAAGCUAGGGGAGCGAAUGGG
rnacentral:rRNA from 1 species